AGAGUUCUGAUCCUGGCUCAGGACGAACGCUGGCGGCGUGGAUUAUGGCAUGCAAGUCGGAGCGACGCAUUCCCUUCGGGGUUUGACGGAGCGGCGAACGGGUGAGUAACACGUGAACAAUUUGUCCUCACGUUCCGGAUACAUUGGGAGAAAUCCCUUGUAAUACGGGCGAGGGUCUUGCAUGGGGCAUCCCAUUGGGAAGGAACGCGCAAGCGGCGCGAGGAGAUGUUCGCGGCCUAUCACGUAGUUGGUGGGGUAAUGGCCUACCAAGCCGACGUACGGGUAGCUGGUCUGAGCAGGAUGGUCAGCCACAUUGGGACUGAGACACUGCCCAGCACUCCUACGGGAGGCUGCACGUCGAGAAUCUUGGGCAAUGCACGCAAAGUGUGACCCAGCGACGCCGCGUGAAUGAUGAAGUGCCCUCUGGGUUGUAAACUUCUUUUAUGGGGGAAGAAUCAAUGACGGUACCCCAUGAAUAAGCCACGGCUAACUACGUGCCAGCAGCCGCAGUGAUACGUCGGUGGCAAGCGUCGUCCGGAUCUACUGGGCGUAAGGCGUGCGCAUGCGGACGGGUAAGUAUGAGCUGAAAGGUCGGAGCUCAACUCCAACACUGCUCCCUAUACUGCCUGUCUAGACUGUCAGAGAUGUAGAGGGAUCGACACGAUGUAGCGGUGAAAUGCGUCGAGAUGUGUCCGAACUCCAUUGGCGAAAGCACUCUCCUGGACGAAUAUUGACGCUCAUGCACGAAAGCUAAGGUACCCAACCUGAUAGAAUACCCUGGGUAUUCAU
rnacentral:rRNA from 1 species